rnacentral:tRNA from 1 species
CCUCUCGUGGCGAAGGGGUAACGCAUUCUAUCUAGAGAACGGGGAGUCGUGAGUUCGAUUCUCACCGAGAAGA